rnacentral:rRNA from 1 species
UGGGUAACCUACCCUCGAGUGGGGAAUAACUAGCCGAAAGGUUAGCUAAUACCGCGUACGCUCCUUGGACUUCGGUUCAGGGAGGAAAGCGAUACCGUGGGUAUCGCGCUCUUGGAUGGGCUCAUGUCCUAUCAGCUUGUUGGUGAGGUAACGGCUCACCAAGGCUUCGACGGGUAGCUGGUCUGAGAGGACGAUCAGCCACACUGGCACUGCGACACGGGCCAG